GACGUAGGGCGCGAGCGUUGUCCGGAAUUAUUGGGCGUAAAGAGCUCGUAGGCGGUUCGUCGCGUCGGCUGUGAAAACCCGAGGCUCAACCUCGGGCCUGCAGUCGAUACGGGCGGACUGGAGUUCGGCAGGGGAGACUGGAAUUCCUGGUGUAGCGGUGAAAUGCGCAGAUAUCAGGAGGAACACCGGUGGCGAAGGCGGGUCUCUGGGCCGAUACUGACGCUGAGGAGCGAAAGCGUGGGGAGCGAACAGG
rnacentral:rRNA from 1 species